CCUGGUGCUUUGAGCGCAAGGGAACCACUUCGAUUCCAUCCCGAACUCGACAGUGAAACUUUGCAGCGGCCAAGAUACUACGCGGAUAGCUGCGUGGGAAAAUAGCUCAGUGCCAGGC
rnacentral:rRNA from 1 species